UACAGAGGUCUCAAGCGUUGUUCGGAUUCAUUGGGCGUAAAGGGUGCGUAGGUGGCGCGCUAAGUCAGGUGUGAAAUUUCGGAGCUUAACUCCGAAACUGCAUUUGAUACUGGCGUGCUUGAGGACUGGAGAGGAGACUGGAAUUCAUGGUGUAGCAGUGAAAUGCGUAGAUAUCAUAAGGAAGACCAGUGGCGAAGGCGGGUCUCUGGACAGUUCCUGACGCUGAGGCACGAAGGCCAGGGGAGCAAACGGG
rnacentral:rRNA from 1 species